GCCGGGGUAGCUCAAUCGGUAGAGCGUGUGGCUCUUAUCUACUGUAUAAGCACGGACACCUCAAGGUCGCGGGUUCGAGCCCCGCCUUCGGCU
rnacentral:tRNA from 1 species